rnacentral:tRNA from 1 species
GGACUUGUAACUCAGUGGUAGAGUGUACGCCUGAUAAGCGUAAAGGCGAUCGUUCAA